rnacentral:rRNA from 1 species
CAGCUCUUGACAUCCCGAUGAAAGCAUUAGAGAUAGUGCCCCUCUUCGGAGCAUCGGAGACAGGUGGUGCAUGGUUGUCGUCAGCUCGUGUCGUGAGAUGUUGGGUUAAGUCCCGCAACGAGCGCAACCCUUGAUCUUAGUUGCCAGCACUUCGGGUGGGCACUCUAAGGUGACUGCCGGUGACAAACCGGAGGAAGGUGGGGAUGACGUCAAAUCAUCAUGCCCCUUAUGAGCUGGGCUACACACGUACUACAAUGGCCGGUACAACGGGAAGCGAAGGAGCGAUCUGGAGCCAAUCCUAUCAAAGCCGGUCUCAGUUCGGAUUGCAGGCUGCAACUCGCCUGCAUGAAGUUGGAGUUGCUAGUAAUCGCGAAUCAGAAUGUCGCGGUGAAUGCGUUCCCGGGUCUUGUACACACCGCCCGUCACACCAUGGAAGUUGGGGGCGCCCGAAGUUGGCCAGUUAAUAGGUUACCUAAGGCGAAAUCAAUGACUGGGGUG